rnacentral:misc_RNA from 1 species
UAACUUGGAUCCUUUCACGGGGAAAGAAAACAACAAAAACUUGGAUACUCGGUAGGAACGUGUCAUUUAUGCAUUCAACCUUUAGUGAAAUUUCUACCAUUGCAUGGCUGGCAAAGGAGAGGAGGGAGAGGGGAAGGGGGGGUUGUUUGAAAGGUGAACCACAUUCCUAAACAAAAUGAAAACAUAGAACGCAAGUAAAUAUGAAAACGCCGGUAAUUGUGAUUUAAUGUCAAUUCCACACAUGAUUGGUAAUCAACAAGGAUAUUUAACAGAUUGCAUUAGCAAAAUUUGAUUACAAGUCAUGAGAAGACAUGCACAUAUGGUCUAACUUUGAAAUUUUUAAAAUGAAAUCACGUUUGUGUAACCACCUUUCUGAUUUCUAGGUAAUAUAUUGUUAAAGGUCUUUUAGCUGUUCAAAUUUGCAUGAUCACGUCAAGAUGAAGUUUGAAGUUGAGUCCCUUGUGUGUCUUAUGGAUGUUAAUG